ACGAACGCUGGCGGCGUGCUUAACCCAUGCACGUCGAACGCUGAAGCUCAGCUUGCUGGGUGGAUGAGUGGCGAACGGGUGAGUAGCACGUGAGUAACCUGCCCUCUUCUUUGGGAUAACGCCCGGAAACGGGUGCUAAUACUGGAUAUUCACUGAUUCUCGCAUGGGGGUUGGUGGAUAGGUUUUUUCUGGUGGGGGAUGGGCUCGCGGCCUAUCAGCUUGUUGGUGGGGUGAUGGCCUACCAAGGCUUUGACGGGUAGCCGGCCUGAGAGGGUGACCGGUCACAUUGGGACUGAGAUACGGCCCAGACUCCUACGGGAGGCAGCAGUGGGGAAUAUUGCACAAUGGGCGAAAGCCUGAUGCAGCGACGCCGCGUGAGGGAUGGAGGCCUUCGGGUUGUAAACCUCUUUCGCUCAUGGUCAAGCCGCAGCUUUGGGUUGUGGUGAGGGUAGUGGGUAAAGAAGCGCCGGCUAACUACGUG
rnacentral:rRNA from 1 species